rnacentral:lncRNA from 1 species
GGUGGUACACGCAAAAAAGAUGUUUUUUGGCCAAAUUUGAGUCCAAGAAGGAUUGUUUCGAUCCAAUUGACCCAAGGACUUCCAAGAGGACUUAAAGACCUGUAAAAAGGCUUAUAAAAGGAGGGGAAUAACAAGGAUUAGAAGGGAGAUUAGAGAGAAAAUAUGAUUCCAUUGAAUUAGAUUAGAGUAGAAUAGGAGAAAACACUAGUUCUAAUUAGAUUUGAAGAUUGAAGCAACUUGGAGACCAUUGAAGAUUCAAAGUAGGAGCAAGGAGGGAGCUUCAAAUCUACAGACAAUAGAUUAUAUCUUCUCAUCUUCUUCUAUCUUUGUCUUUU